UCUGAAGGGAGGUUCUUGUGCGCAGCAAGAAGUGGCACGUCUUUCCACGUAGCGUUGCAAACUGGACACACAAGGCUACCUUGCUUGCGAACAUGUGAAGCUAUGCAAGGAAAGUGGAAAGCGUGGGCACAUUCUGCAGUGUAUAUCGCAGUGCCUUGUCCCGUCUUCACGCUGUUCAAGCAUAUUCCGCAGCUACUCUGUUAAACGUGAAAAACAGCCAGAAUUAAGAACCAAACGGGACAAUUUGAGAGGGGAACGUGGUGAAGAUGGAUUUGAAGCUGCAAGCGUCUUGGGGGACUUGCUUGCUCUUGGCGUGCUUAAUUUGCUUGCAACUCUGGGGCUCUCAUUUGAUGCAGCUGCUUCGGCGAUUGUACGGCAACGCAGGCUUGGGCUUGAAACGGAUUGAGAUUGCUGUUGAUGCAACCUUGGAGUGGAAGGAUUGCUGAGGAAACCGAGUCUGCCACAGCUUCUCGGGCUUGGGCUUGGGCUUGAGCUUCUACGAUGCUUGUUAUCGGAUAGGGUGGAUUCUGGGUCGCGUGUGCAAAAGGCUCUUCUCCAACCAGUUCCCAUUUUUCAAAGACCAAAAGGUGUGAGAUGAGGAGGAAAAAAAAAAAGAAAAGACAGAACUAAUCCACAAUGAGAAUAGCAGGUUUACCAUUUAGGAUCUAUUUAUACCCUGGUCGAGCUGUCCGACCCAGGAUGAUUAGCAACGAGGCGACCGACCUCUUCAGACCAAACUACCCGACCUCUUCUCAAAGAGCUCGGCCAAGCUGUCAGGAAAGCCCAAUAAAGGGCCCAAACAGAGGAACACGACCCAAAUCCAAGGGCAGCCCAAAGCCUAUAGAGAUGAGGGCGGUUCCCUUGAAGAUAAGAUGACCUCACUCAAAAGAUAAAGAUAAGAUAAGAUAACUAACUUAUCUUAUCUAAAGAAGGUCGCUCUACACCAUUAUAAAUACAUUGGAGCAUCCAGGUAUAACUCAUACUCUGAUUCUACUAAAAAACCUGCUUAAUACCCUUGCUAACUUAAGCAUCGGAGUCCCUUGCAGGCACUGCCACCCUCCGGUGACAAAGGAUCAGCAGCAUUGCCAGUCCAACAAGUCGGACAUGACAGCUCCGGCUGCCACGCACAAGCCGGAUCCAUCAUCUCCAAUCCGUACAGAAGAUCUCGUCCGAGAUCGACCUACAAUUUCAGGUAACCCUCGGAAUAUUGGCGCCGUUGCUGGGGAACCUGGAAGUCAUCCCAUCACCAUGGUGGACGACCAUGACAACGACCACGAUUCAGGUCUAGAAGACCGAACGCCGCACAAAAACAUGGAUACUAA